AGAGCGUGGAGCUGCACAGCAGCGGCGGACUGAGGAGACUGCCAGGGUAGGAGAGGCGAGGGCCGGAGCGGGGCCGAGGACAGGAGCGGCCAAGGGCGGAGGGUGAGCAGGUGUGGUGGUGGUGCAUUUCAGCAUCAUCUGUCAGAUGGAAGAGCUCUUUAGCGCUUUGUAAGAGUGGUCUGCUGUGAUCAAUUCUCUCAGCCUUCGUUUGUAUGGGAGAGGAUUUUAUCCAUGUUUGAAGGACACUUUUCUUGGGAAAGUCUUUCAGUUGUUUAUACAACUUACUGUCCUGCUCAGUAUACCGUGUAUGAGCCAGUAAUUCGACUUAAAGCUUAAAGGUCAGAUGAAAACUCAGCUCUCAAAGACCCUUCAGCUCAAAAGAAGUUCAGAGCAUCAUAUUAGAACUUCAUCAUCUAAAGAAUCUCUAGCCUACCCAAUGUAAAACUAUUCAAGGCAUUCUGCAUGAGAUUGGUGGAACUGGUUGUUGAACUCAAUAGCUGUGAAGAAACUCAAGCGUUAGCACUGCAAGUUAUACUCUCAUUACUUCAGUAUAACCAACAGUACAGGACUUAGAAAACUGUGAUGGACUUUCCAUGAUUCAUCAGGUGUUGAUCAAAUGAAAAUGUGUCGUUGGCUAUCACAUUUUGAAGAUGGCAAGAUUUUUCAGGAGAAAGUAAAAUCAAUUGUGUAGCUGAGGCACUCCAGCAGCGGAGGAAAGUCCCUGACUAACCCUGGAUUUAUGGAAAUAAACCCAUCAGGUUUUACUGCUUCACCACCUGAAGAUAUGGCUCUUGCACUACAGCUUAGAGUUCUUCAGACUGCUAUGGAAUUUAUAAGGACCACCACAGAUCACGACUCUGAAAACCUUACAGAUCCAUUCUGGUCACCUUCUGUUCCCCAUUAUGCAGUGAUUCAGAAGCGGAAAAGCAUUGCUGUUAAGAGAUUACCAAUGGAGAAACAGCCUUGGUGGUCCUCCAGGAACAAAUAACAAAAUGAAAACUGGCAGUGGCCCUGAUUGAGCCACUUCUGAGGGUCACCAGUUGCCUAAGCAGCCCACAUCAUACAUCGGUGGGGAGGCCUUUGUGACUUCAGUGUACAUGAAGGAGCUGGAGAGUAGUUGCCCAGAUCUGGCAAUAGACUGGUACUCCAGCUGUGUAGAAAACACAUUGAAGAAGCGUGAUCCAGGAAUUGGAAAAAAUGGCACCAGGAAACUCUGGAUCAACAGGGAAGAGGAACAUGAUUUCUCUGUUUGCUCAUUCCAUGUCUGAUGGGUUUGAAGAAAGACUCAGAGAGGCCACAGGCUUGUCUUGCUCACUCCCAACCUGGAGAAGAAUCACGCCCUGCACCCCACCCUCAGCCCCACAAGGUCCCUGAGAAUCUGGUCUCACUGGUGAGCCUGUCCGGGGCCAUUGGUGGCAUUCCGGGGUCCUGUCCAUUAUUGUUACAUCCCUGCCUCCCCGGUAAGUGAUGUUUCUUUUCUCUUCCUAUAGCAGGAGAGUAGGUGUCAGCAGGUGAACUCCAUGCAGGAACAAUGCAGGUGAGUGGACUGUGUGGCAAUGCUCAUGUUCCCUAAAGAACCUUCCUUUCCCUCUCUCUCAGCACCGGUUUGGCUUCUCUCCCAAAGGCUCAGAUUCCGACCACUGAAGACUUAAUGUAUGAAAAAGCACAGUUACAAAGAGCCCUUGCUGGGGCUCACCAUGCAGUCUGGAAUAAAGCAGGUGCAAAUCUGGGCACCCUUCCUCCCUCACCUUGUGCCUUGGCAGGCCUUUGGGGGAGUCCUUUGGGCUCCAUCUUGACCUCUGUCAUUCCAAGGGAGUGUGAACAUCUGGCAAUCUGCCUGUGCUCACAUGAGCAGCAAGUAAAGGAGCUGCAGUGGAAUCUGACUGCUGUCUCUGCACAACAGAAGGAGGACGAGAGGGUCAGCCGAGCCACCUGCCCUUGUGCUUGCACCUCCACCCACAGGGAAAAAUGGGCUUUUGAAGUACAGCUCCCUGCACCCUCAUAACGUAUGCUAUCUGCUUCUGUAGAAUUGCUUGCUUAACCUAAGUAAUUCCAUUUUACCCUUUGUCUGACCUGCA